GACGAACGCUGGCGGCGUGCUUAACACAUGCAAGUCGAACGGAAAUGCCCUGCUUUUGUGGGGUGCUCGAGUGGCGAAAGGGUGAGUAACACGUGAGUAACCUGCCCUUGACUUUGGGAUAACUUCAGGAAACUGGGGCUAAUACCGGAUAGGAUCUCCUGCUGCAUGGUGUGGGUUGGAAAGUUUCGGCGGUUGGGGAUGGACUCGCGGCUUAUCAGCUUGUUGGUGGGGUAGUGGCUUACCAAGGCUUUGACGGGUAGCCGGCCUGAGAGGGUGACCGGCCACAUUGGGACUGAGAUACGGCCCAGACUCCUACGGGAGGCAGCAGUGGGGAAUAUUGCACAAUGGGCGGAAGCCUGAUGCAGCAACGCCGCGUGCGGGAUGACGGGCUGUGGGUUGUAAACCGCUUUCGCCUGUGACGAAGCGUGAGUGACGGUAAUGGGUAAAGAAGCAACGGCUAACUACGUG
rnacentral:rRNA from 1 species